UACGGGGGGGGCAAGCGUUGUUCGGAAUUACUGGGCGUAAAGGGCUCGUAGGUGGCCAACUAAGUCAGACGUGAAAUCCCUCGGCUUAACCGGGGAACUGCGUCUGAUACUGGAUGGCUUGAGUUUGGGAGAGGGAUGCGGAAUUCCAGGUGUAGCGGUGAAAUGCGUAGAUAUCUGGAGGAACACCGGUGGCGAAGGCGACAGCCUGGACCAACACUGACACUGAGGAGCGAAAGCCAGGGGAGCAAACGGG
rnacentral:rRNA from 1 species